rnacentral:lncRNA from 10 species
AUAAAAACAGCUAACACUUGUUUAGGUACUUACUACAUGACUGCUAUCGCCCUGACAACUUACUGCUUUUAAUCUCAUAAAGUCUUCCCCAUAACCCAAUGAGGCAACUUCUGCUAUCCCUGUCUUGGAAUCCAGUCACCAUGUAAAAAAUGCCACUGCCCUGAGACCACCCACCAUGCUGUUAAGAAGCCCAAGCAAGUGAAGUCACCGUAUACUAGAAUGAAAUUUGCAAAUUCACUUCAUUGCUUUCAAAAGGAUUUGGAUUCUCAGGCCGAAUUGUCCUGAAAUCAAAAGUGCAGUUGACACAGUUUUGCCUCUCAUCCUGAGCAUCCUUGUCCACCAUUAAAAUGUUUCUAACAAUGAAAGGAACUCACCAGAGCCCCAGACUCAGCCUACAAAUCAAGCUUUAUUUUUAAAUAUUAAAAAGAAAAAAAUCUGUUAGAUUGACUUUUACAAGGAAAUAAAGCCAGGUUACUGAAUGAAUUCAUCUGAAGGUUAUUUAUAGUUUUGUUGCUUGUUUGUUUUUAACCACAGACAACAUGUCUUAAUUGGAAUGGACAAUAAAGAUAAACUGCUUCAGCCCUCUUGUAAAAUGGUGCGUAGUGUGAUGCUCAUAGCUGAGAUUUGAAGAAAUACUUUCAUUCAUUUUCAUAUCCAUCCAGCAAUCAUUUGUCAAACAGUUAUUCAGCACUGAACCAUGGACCAGAAAAGGGACAGACAGAAGAAUAAGGCAACGUUGUCCUCUUGAAGUAGUUUGAAGUUUGGAGGGACACACAUUUAAUCAUUAAAUCUUCAGUAAGAAAAAACAUAACAUGUCUUGGCCGGGAGCGGUGGCUCACGCCUGUAAUCCCAGCACUUUGGGAGGCCAAGGCGGGCAGAUCACAAGGUCAGGAGUUCAAGAACAACCUGGUCAACAUAGUGAAACCCCAUCUCUACUAAAAAUAAAAAAAAUUAGUGGGGCUUGGUGGCGGGCGCCUGUAAUCCCAGCUACUCAAGAGGCUGAGGCAGGAGAACAGCUUGAACCCGGGAGGCGGAGCUUGCAGUGAGCCGAGAUUGCGCCACUGCACACCAGCUGGGUGACAGAGCGAGACUCCAUCUUAAAA